GAGCUGCACAGUUCCAGGAUUUCCAAUGACACAGUUAUUCUAAUAAAAGGAAGCAAUCCUACUUCAUUUUAGUGGAGGUUGGCAGCUUAACUGUUCCCACUGUCUGGCAUCUGAAUGGUGGGUAGUGCCUUCAGAUGAUCCUGAAUAAAACUGCUAUUGUUGGAUCCAGGAGGAAGAAGCACAAGUGGUACACCGUAAUGCACAGAUAGAGAAUGCCCGAGCCUGUCUGCUGCAGUUCAAUUAAUUUCCGCCAGGAAAGUGCUAAUAUACUCACCAACCUGAGAAAAAGCACCUGAAGACCUCUACUGUCCUGCUAUCAUGUUGCAAAUACACACGGAGUGC